UGGUUCGUUUGAUUUGUGAAGAAACACAUUCAAGAAAUUGUGACUUCGUUCAAGAGGUCCAUUGUUCAUGCCAGUAACUGCAUUUGUUUACUAUAAGCUCCAGAGGUGAAACAUGAACAUAUAUUGAAUACAAAUGCCUGUUUUCUCUGUAGAAAAUGUAAAACUCACCCAGGUCCAGUUGUACAUAUAAGUGGUAACCCUGUGGACCCUAAUAAGUUGCUUUUAGGUUUUGAAACUGGAACAGUUGUUGUUUGGUCUCUCAGAGGGAAAACAGCAGAACACAGAUGUAUUUGUCCUCAGUCUGUGAUCUCUGCAUAUUGGUUGAAUGAUGGAAAACAGUUCAUAUGCUCUCACACCAAUGGUACUUUGACAGUAUGGAAUCUUAAAAACAGUGACAAACCAGUGGACACAUUAGUUCCCCACAGUAAAUCUGACAAAGGAAG